GGACUACCCGGGUUUCUAAUCCUGUUUGCUCCCCACGCUUUCGCGUCUCAGCGUCAGUUGCGAUCCAGAUGGCCGCCUUCGCCACCGGUGUUCCUCCCAGUAUCUACGAAUUUCACCUCUACUCUGGGAAUUCCGCCAUCCUCUCUCGCACUCGAGCGAAGCAGUUUCCGAUGCACUUCCCCAGUUAAGCCGAGGGAUUUCACGUCGGACAUACUCCGCCGCCUACACGCCCUUUACGCCCAGUGAUUCCGAACAACGCUAGCACCCUCUGUCUUACCGCGGCUGCUGGCAC
rnacentral:rRNA from 1 species